UUGAAUUUGUCUCGUUGAGAGCUUCAAAAUAAGUAUAGUCAUGCCUAGGUUCC
rnacentral:sRNA from 1 species